rnacentral:rRNA from 1 species
AUGUGCACUCCCUUCUUCUUUGCCGGAAUAAUGUCAUACUACUUCAUCUUACUUGUGGCCUAUGUUAUAUCUAUUGAUGACAGGGGCUGUUUGGUUUGUUACCACGUCCGCCCUGCCAAAUCCUGGGCGCUGUGUUGGCACGCCAAAAUAUUGGCGAGGCAUUCGGCCGCCAGCGUUUCUGCCAACGAUUUGGCGCAAAAGCAGCGGGAGGGAGCUGAGGCGGGCCGGCGCACCAAAAUUUUGGAGGCGAUCCAAACGGCCAACCGAAGCCUGGUCAACGACCGAUGUUUUGGCUGGGUUCGCUAUAGAGAAGUACCUCCAGAAGUGCAUUAA